AUACUGUCCAGUUCAGCAGCUGCUGACACGCGUGGCUGUAAAGCGUGUGUGGCCAGCUGAAUAAUGCUCUGCAAAGAUGUCUACACCCUAAUCCUCGUAUCUAUGGGGAGACCAAAUCAGAGAAGAGAAGGGACCCACCCCUGGUCCCAUAGCAAGCUUGCAGGGAGGGUCAACAGGAUCUCCUACAUCCCAAUGGAGGCGCUCCUGGACUCCCAAAGAGGACAGACACUUGAUGUCUCUCGUUUCCCCACAAAAGCCACAGCAAAAAUAGAAGAGGGCCGCAGAUGGAAGAAGAUGGAUUUUUGCAAGAUCUGAUGCCUGCCAUGCCCAGUUCACCCCGCCGUGACAAGUCUCAGGGAACAGACAUGUUAGGACACUGUGAGGUCUGAUGGCCCUGCACAUGUGACAGCUCUAUGAGGAGACUGGGUUUUAAGAGUUGAAGUGCUAUGCUCAGGGUCCCACAGCUGGUAAUCAGUGGAGUUGGCCUAUGAGACCCAGAGGUGAGUGCUUCCAACUGUAAUCUCUGCCCUGUGCAUCCUACAGGUAGACCCAGCCAGCCAGAGAGAUCACACCCCAAGGCCCAGAGGCAGGGGGCCAAGGGUGGGCAACUUGACAGUCAACAGGAAGGACGGGGGGCUGGGGGAGUAUGGUCCACCUGCUACACCCAUGAUGUCCACACUCCACAGCCUCACGGGUGUCUGUGCAGUGUGAUGCUAGCAGGGCAAGGACUGGAUAUGACUGGAGCCACGCCCCUUUCCUCAAUCUGCUAUUCCUAUGACUCUGUAUGAUGUCUUUCACUGUGUGCCACUUAUUUAAAUGUUGUGUUUGUGUGUGUGGUAUGUAUUUGCAAUUGUAUCUUUGUGUUGUGUUUCCGUGCAUUACGUUUGUGUGCAAUUUGCUGUUGGUGUACUCUGUUUCUCUUGUGCGCCUGUGUUACUGCGUUGUGGCUCCAUGCCUGUUUGUCUACUUUAUGUGUAUGUUUUGUUGUGUGUCCAUGCUGUGUACACGGUGUGUCUCUCCUAUGUAUCUAUGUCCAUACUCUGUAAUUGCCUCUUUAUUGUGUGUUGUGUCGUGUGUAUCAUGUGUUGUGAAUUUGUGUUUGUGCCGUGCGCGUUGUGGAUCUGUUUCUGUGUGUGCUCUCUACACCGCAAGUGCAGGAUGUUUGUGUGUUUCUGUCGUGCGAAUCCCGUUUGGGUUGUUCUAGGUCUGUGUCUACGCAGGGAGUCCGUGUGCAUCUGCACCUCCCCCUGUGUGUCUGUGCCAGCUGACGUCUGUGCCCUGCGCGCAGAGUUGUGUUUCCUCAACAAGUGUGUGCCGGCUCGGAGUGCCGCGCGCGCCUCCUCGUGUGCCCGCGUUGUGCCUGCGCCUCCGCCGGGCGGUCAUGCCG